ACUCCAGUAGCUUAAUCUACAAAGCAUUGGUCUUGUAAACCAAAGACUGAAGAUUACAACCUUCCUAGAGUA
rnacentral:tRNA from 1 species